rnacentral:rRNA from 1 species
AUUGAACGCUGGCGGCAUGCCUUACACAUGCAAGUCGAACGGUAACAGGUCUUCGGAUGCUGACGAGUGGCGAACGGGUGAGUAAUACAUCGGAACGUGCCCAGACGUGGGGGAUAACGAGGCGAAAGCUUUGCUAAUACCGCAUACGAUCUAAGGAUGAAAGCAGGGGACCGCAAGGCCUUGUGCGUUUGGAGCGGCCGAUGGCAGAUUAGGUAGUUGGUGGGAUAAAAGCUUACCAAGCCGACGAUCUGUAGCUGGUCUGAGAGGACGACCAGCCACACUGGGACUGAGACACGGCCCAGACUCCUACGGGAGGCAGCAGUGGGGAAUUUUGGACAAUGGGCGAAAGCCUGAUCCAGCAAUGCCGCGUGCAGGAUGAAGGCCUUCGGGUUGUAAACUGCUUCUGUACGGAACGAAAAGGCUCUGGCUAAUACCUGGGGCACAUGACGGUACCGUAAGAAUAAGCACCGGCUAACUACGUG